rnacentral:lncRNA from 1 species
GGCGAGGAUGUGGUAUUUAGAAUAAGAGAUUUCCACAUGCUGGGUGGAUAGAGGGGCAGGAAUGACUAAAGCAGCAGCAAGAGGCCAACGAAGUCAGAGAGCAGGGAUAGGUGGCCCGAAGAUCUGGUGAGUGAAGUUCACAGAGCUGAGCCCCGGGAAGAAUGCCAGGCUCCUGGUUAGGGCGUUGUAGUCUCUGCCUUCCCUGACCGUGGAAGACACCUUGGAAGAAGCUCCUGGGCACCGUCUCCCUGGGAGGUGGGCGGGACUGCUGGCCAAAGGUCAGGGCAGAGGCAGCUCCACUGAGGAAAUGGAGAAGGACCAGCGUGGAGGGGAAGGAACUGGGAGGAGCAGCCAGCUGUCCCCUUCUCCAGGCUGCUGGGCAUAGAGCUGGACCCACGAGCAGCCCUGAGGACCAGCUGCCCCACGGGCGAGGGGGGAGCAAGACAGGCUGCACCUGCAUGCGGAGCCUUGGGGAAGGAGAGAAAAUUGAGACACUGAUGGAGGUUAGUAAAGCAAACAGUGACUGAGUUUGCAUCUUCUCUCUUUUUUUUUUUUGGUCUUUUUAGGUUGCACCUGUGGCAUAUGGAGGUUCCCAGGCCCGGGGUUGGAUCAGAGCUGUAUCUGCCAGCCUACACCACAGCUAUGGCAACACCAGAUCAGAGCCGCAUCCAUGACCCACACUACAGUUUGUGGCAACACUGGAUCCUUAACCCACUGAGUGAGGUCAGGGAUCGAACCUGAAUCCUCAUGGAUCCCAGUCAAGUUCUUUACCUGCUGAGACACAACAGGAACUCCGCUAAUGAUAAAUCUUAUCAAAAGGAAGACAAGAAUCCUCAAGGAGUUAUUUCAAUGUGGUCAGCAAGGAACACCCUACAGCUGUGAAAAGUGUGCAACCGCGCACCAUCCCAGGUAACAAAUAGCUUUCUGAAGUCAGAGACUAUCUCCUGGAUUGAGUCAUAGAGGAAGGAAUCCUGACUCAAUUAGCUGCUGUUUUGAAUUCACAUGUUUCCAGCCCUGGAACAGCCGCCAGGGACGGUGCAGAAGGAGCUGGGCGGAUCCUGGGAGGGGAUGGGCAGGGCCCUGCACCCAGCUCUGAAAGCCUGCAUUUGACUCCUCACCUGCAACAGGACGUGGCCCCUUGUCCUCUGAGCAAAUCGGGGGCACGGCGGCGCUCGGCUCACACCUGCCAGCUCUGAGGAAGCCACGCUCCUGCUCAGUGGCAGGAAGGGGUAGGGUCUUGGACUGCUGGACUGUAAACCCCUCUCUUCCUGUGCUAGAGACCCAGCUCCUCCAGUGCCUGCUAGAUAUUUGAGCAAAUGGUGGUAGCUUUCUGUCUCCUCUCUCCUUCCUGCUCCCUCUGUGCCCUCCCUGUCACCGUCCAGGGGUACCUUCCUCCGAAAAGCCGCAUUAACAGGAGACACCGUU